GAUGAACGCUGGCGGCGUGCUUAACACAUGCAAGUCGAACGAGAAUCAACGGAUUGAGGAUUCGUCCAAAUGAAGUUGAGGAAAGUGGCGGACGGGUGAGUAACGCGUGAGGAACCUGCCUCGGAGUGGGGAAUAACAGUUGGAAACAGCUGCUAAUACCGCAUAAUGCAACGGAAUCGCAUGACUCUGUUGCCAAAGAUUUAUCGCUCUGAGAUGGCCUCGCGUCUGAUUAGCUAGUUGGCGGGGUAACGGCCCACCAAGGCGACGAUCAGUAGCCGGACUGAGAGGUUGGCGGCCACAUUGGGACUGAGACACGGCCCAG
rnacentral:rRNA from 1 species